UACGUAGGGUGCGAGCGUUAAUCGGAAUUACUGGGGCGUAAAAGCGUGCGCAGGCGGUUUUUGUAAGCCAGAUGUGAAAUCCCCGAGCUUAAACUUGGGAACUGCAUUUGGGACUGCAAGGCUAGAGUACGGCAGAGGGGGGUAGAAUUCCUGGGUGUAGCAGUGAAAUGCGUAGAUAUCAGGAGGAACACCGGUGGCGAAGGGCGGGGUCUCCUGGGCCGGUAAACUGGACGCUGGAGGAAGCGAAAGCAUGGGGAGGC
rnacentral:rRNA from 1 species